AUGGAUAAACGAAAUUCUUACUGUAUCACUUCUACCCAUAAAAAUUAGAUUUUAGGUGAAGAUACCUAAAUUAACUUGAAAGACAAGAAGACCCUAUAGAGUUUCAAUAUAAAUUAUCAUCUCUAUACCUUUAUAUUUUAGUUGGGGCGACUUAGGAUUAUUAAAAACAUCCUUUUUAAUUACGAAUAAAUAAUUCUUAAUAAAGACCCUGAAAUUCAGAUUCUUAAAAUAAACUACCUUAGGGAUAACAGGCUUAUCUUCCUAAAGAGUUCAAAUUAACAGGAAGGUCUGGCACCUCGAUG
rnacentral:rRNA from 1 species